GUUGAUAAGGCUUUGGAUUACACAAGUGUACACACUUGUCAGAAUUCUAUUAAAUAGUACACUUAAGAUUGGGGCAUUUCAUUGCGUGUUCAAAAACAAAAAUUAGUAAUACUCAUAUUGAGUUAGUUACAUGAGUGCUGAAGUAUUCAGAGGAAGAGAAAUGCUAUUUGCAACUUGAAAAUGCAUAAAAAAUUAGAGGGAUGGAUGGGUGAAGAAGGCUGGAUCACUUGAUAAGUGCAAGAACAAAAUAUUGAAGUGUUAGUGAUAGGAUCUAGGUGGUGGGCACACUGGUGUUCGUGUAAAAUUCUUUCACACUUUUCUGUGUUGAAAAUUUUUCACUAUAAAAUGUUGAGGAAAACAGCUACUGAUGUGCCAGGUAUUGUUUAGGUGCCAGUAAUACAGUGGAUAACACAGAAUAAUGGGCUAAAUAAACUAGAGGGCAUGCUUGUAAGGGAUGAUGACAGUUCUUUUUUCCUUUUUGUAGUUCAAACGUUGUUGUUGUUGCUUAUCAACCAGAUGAUGAGUUUAGAUUGUGGUAGUGAACACACGGGGCUUCCCAGGUGGCUGUGGUAAACAAUCCGCCUGUCAGUGCGGGAGACGUGGCUUUUGUCUCUGGGGGAUCUUCCCAACCCAGGGAUUGAACCCAGGUCUCCCGCAUUGCAGGCAGAUGCUUUACCCUCUGAGCCACCAGAGAAGCCCAAUAAGUAAGAGAAACAGGUCCAAAUACAGACAAAGGACAGCAGGAGCAAAGAACACAUCCGUGUCCUCCAAGCUCUCUACCAUAUGACCGUCUCAGAAUAUGUAAGCCUUUGUAAACUCUGUGUAACCAGCUCCCCAGAGAAGCAUAUCGUCUGAUUACAUAGCCACCUCCGUGGAUUAUUCUUAUUCUUUCACAUCACAAGGAGUCCUGGAUCAGAAAAAAAAAAAAACCACCUAUGGGCAAUAAAUUAAACAUUAUCAGGAUAAAGUUAUACCUCCCACCACCAUCAUAACCAGGUCGAAAUUUAUACACCCAAGCACAAACUGAGUAGAUCUAACCAUUUUUAACCCCCAAAGCUUCAUCUUACAUACACAAGAGAUCUGAAUUCAUUUUCUUGAAAACUAGAACGAUGAAUUUCUUGAAUUGUCAACAGUAAUUUUGUAUGAGCUUUGCUUUAAACAUUGUUUUGGUUUUGCCUUGAGCUCAGGUAUUUAUAAUUUUUCCUGUCUUGCCCCAACCCUGUUUCACAUUCAUUAUCUGGAAAUCUAUCAGGCCAAAUAGUUACAUGUCCAUAUCCUCCUUAAUAAGCCAAUCACAGAAAGUCGGAAAAACCCCAAGAUAGAGAAUUUGGGAACCCUGGGACUAAUUUCCUCAUUUCACUCCUUGAAUUAAAACCAAAAGUUUUUAAAAUGACCUUUCAUAAAUUUAUAUCUGCCUGCAUGCAAUGCAGGAGAGCCAG
ensembl:lncRNA